UGCACACACGUGUCCCUCACCCUCUUCCUCAGAGGCUGGCACACUACGCACUACAAACAUGUGGGCGUUUUUAGACUUUGUUUGUCCAGGGGAGGGACUUUAAACGCUGAGUUUCCUUCUUGGAGGAAUCUGAAUUGUGCAUCAGCAGAAACUACUCAGAUCAAAUAAAGCUGUUGUGAGUUCUGCAAGACCUAGAACUGUGGGAGCCACUGGCCGCUGUGUGGCGGGUUGGAAGUACGUUCACGCACGUGCAGCCAAGCAGAUCUUCCACGGGCUGUAGAGCCUUUUCUGCACCUGCUGCUGGAAGUUGCUACCUCAAGUGGGCCGUUUGUGUGACUCUUCGUAAGGAACAUGAGUCACGUGAAAGGGCACAUUGCCUUCGGGGACAUAAUCAAAUGCCUGAAUGACAAGUAUGAAGAGUGUCACCCUCAAUGACACCUUGGAAUCCUGAAACCGUUUCUCGUGGAGCCCGUCAGCAGGUGGAUGAUGGCCGGUAACACACAGGGAGAGCGGCAGAGGAGGCAGACGACGCGGCGUUUCCCUGGUUUCUGUCUGUGAGUUCUGUGAAAGCCGUGUGCCCAGGCCGAGCUCCAGGACCGGCGCCUGCCGACGGGGAGAGGGGCCGUCUCUCCCAGCUGGGGUGCGGGCACUCUGCCCAUUGGAUCUGAGGUCUUGUAGCCACCGGGUGCCCCCUUUGGUAAAAAAUCUACUGCUCCUUCCAGUAGGCAUCAGCAUGCGUAAGGGCCAGCCCGUAACCCCCAAGUGACAGGUGCCCCCCAAGAAGGACCCUCAACCGUGUCUCACCAGGAACUGAGGUGAGAGCUGUUGCUCCAGUCUGAAUUCAAACAGGUUCCCCUUGGGAGAAGACUGCUCACCUGGGGCUGCUCAGCAAGGCCCCCUGUCUGCAGACCAGUCCCCUCACAUGCGACUUCAAAUCGCAGGAAAGACUUGCCCUGAGAGGAAGCAUCUCGAGGGAGCACAUCGGGGUCUGCGCCGGACAGGAGGGGCUGAGAAACGGAGACCAAAUAGAACACAUCUACAGGCCGGAUUAGGGUCAUUGGCCCAAAUUUGCAACUGCCCUUACCUGCCUCCCUCUGUCCUCUUUAUGAAUUCAGCAUUCACUGUGCACCACACACUGUUGGUGGCUCUUGGAAUAAGUCUGGGGACAGGUGGCAAGGGGCUCUGCUCCCUCGGGCCUCCCAAACGGUAAAGGGCAACCUCAGCCCCUGUAAGUGCUGUGAGUACAAGGGGAGGGGAGCCUGAGGUGGGGGUGGGUGGCCCUCAGAGAGAGGAGACAGGA